CUGGAAUGAUGUAGCUUAGCCAAAUCCGACAUUGAUGUGCUCCAUAAGGGAUUUUCAUCAAAGCUUGUACCUCUUGUUGUAGAGGCACAAUGUGUCUCUUACACACACUUGAUCAAGCUUUAGAUGAUAUGCCUUCUGUAGAAGCGCAUUGUUGUGACGUCAACAUAGAGUUUGGUUGUUCCUGACCAGA